rnacentral:rRNA from 1 species
UACGAGAGGCCCAAACGUUAUUCGGAUUUACUGGGCUUAAAGAGUUCGUAGGCGGUGCAGAUAGUGGGGUGUGAGAGCCCUCGGCUCAACCGAGGAAUUGCGCUCCAAACUCCUGUACUCGAGGAAGCUAGAGGUGAGCAGAACUGAUGGUGGAGCGGUGAAAUGCGUUGAUAUCAUCAGGAAUACCGGAGGCGAAGGCGGCUCACUGGGGCUUUUCUGACGCUGAGGAACGAAAGCCAGGGUAGCGAACGGG